GCCAGUGUGGUGCAGUGGGUUCAGGAUUGGACUAGGACUCAGGAAACUAGGGUUCAAAUCCCUGCUCAGUCA